ensembl:ncRNA T27B2.2 ncRNA
UCAAAGACAUCACUCUACAAAGGGCCAUUCCGCUAGCAGCAUAAAGCGAAGACGUAUGAAAGCAUACCGCUAAAUAAUCUACA